ensembl:lncRNA
AGGACACAGCCUUGAGAGAGCAAGGUGGUGUUGAGACCAUCUGGACAGUAUAGUGACUGAACCCAGUUAAGGCCGCUAUGGAAACUUUUGGUUCUGGCGGGCACGUGCAGAUAUCUGCUUACCUUGCACAGCUGCGCAAGACAAGCUUCAGCUCAGAGUUUUAUUACUACCAUUUGCUUCAUUAACAGCCGUAACUUCUUGGGUGUGAAGCUUGCCUGAAAUGGUAACUACUUACAGAAAGUGGAGGAAGAAGGAGAAAUAAAAGAAGAGGCUUAAGGAAUACUGCCGCUGAAACACAUGCAUGGGGAAGAGAAUCAGCUGGACGUUCUCUCUGGUCAUAUGACUGUUUUUUCACAAAGAUUUCUGACAUUUGGUUUAAAUUCUAUGAUUUCAUAAGUAAUCAUCUUUAAAUCUCCUUUUAAUCAUCUAUUGGGUUGGCCAAAAAAAGUUCGUUUGGGGUUUCCUAUAAGGUAGUAUAGAAAUGCCCAAACAAACUUUUUGGCCAACCCAAUAUCAUCCAUGUAUCAUUUUGACUUAGGUAGCAUUUUUAUUCAUGUAAAAAUGUGUUUUGUGCUUUUGCUUCAUAGUGACUUCCCAAUUUUACAGGCUUCCUCUGUCUCUCUAAACCUCAGUUGCCAAUAAAACGAUGCAUUUGAAUACUUGGGUCUAAGCUUUGUAAAAAGAGGAAGCUUGGCAUGUCUUACAAACCAUGUACUUCAUAAAGGUCAGAUGAGGAUAGUGAAGACCCUCCUGCAGAUGCUGACCUUUCCAAGAAACCUAUUCUCCUUGUAAUGAUUGUAUUUGCCUUAGUAACUUAAAAAACAAAAAAAAACAACCCUCCUUUUUUCUCUAUAUCUCAAGAAGGACAAAACACCUUCCAGAUUUUGUUAUUUUCGACUCUCGAAUAAAGAGUUUGACUGAGGCAUCAGAAGCCAAGUCCCUUCGGUCACUGAGCACAAUCUCGAAGUUGCAUAUGAACUGGCAAUUAAACUCGCCAGCUCCUCAACAUGUCUCGGAUUCUUCCCCCCGAUCUCUUCUCACCUCUAUUCUCAGAGUGGCUGGUUUGUUAUGAAACUCAUUCUUUUUAGGCCAAGUUUCCUUUGAACAGGGUGCAAAGGCAUAUGAUCC